UACGUAGGGUGCAAGCGUUGUCCGGAAUUAUUGGGCGUAAAGAGCUCGUAGGCGGUCUGUCGCGUCUGCUGUGAAAACUCAGGGCUUAACCCUGAGCUUGCAGUGGGUACGGGCAGACUAGAGUGCGGUAGGGGAGACUGGAAUUCCUGGUGUAGCGGUGAAAUGACGCAGAUAUCAGGAGGAACACCGGUGGCGAAGGCGGGUCUCUGGGCCGUAACUGACGC
rnacentral:rRNA from 1 species